GGGGGGGGGGGGGGGGGGGGGGGGGGGGGGCGGGGCGGAGGGGGGGGGCCGGGGUUGGGGGGGGGCGCGAGUGGCGAACGGGUGAGUAACACGUGAGUGGCCUGCCCUUGACGCUGGGAUAACUUCAGGAAACUGGGGCUAAUACCGGGUAGGCGCUCCUGCUGCAUUGUUGGGUUUGGAAAGUUUCGGCGGUUGGGGAUGGACUCGCGGCUUAUCAGCUUGUUGGUGGGGUAGUUGCUUACCAAGGCUUUGACGGGUAGCCGGCCUGAGAGGGUGACCGGCCACAUUGGGACUGAGAUACGGCCCAGACUCCUACGGGAGGCAGCAGUGGGGAAUAUUGCACAAUGGGCGGAAGCCUGAUGCAGCAACGCCGCGUGCGGGAUGACGGCCUUCGGGUUGUAAACCGCUUUCGCCUGUGACGAAGCGUGAGUGACGGUAAUGGGUAAAGAAGCACCGGCUAACUACGUG
rnacentral:rRNA from 1 species